rnacentral:lncRNA from 1 species
GGAGAGGAGAGGAGAGGGGAGGGAGAGGAGAGGAGAGGAGAGAGCGUAGAUGAAGCAGUCAGAUGCCACCUGAUUAACUCCUCCUUAUCUUCUCAUUCUAAUCAGUUACAUUUGAGAGUUUAGCAGGGUGUUAGUUUAUAGGGUGUUAGUUUAUAUGGUGUUAGUUUAUCGGGGUGUUAGUUUAUAGGGUGAUAGUUUAUAGGGUGUUAGUUUAUAUGGUGUUAGUUUAUAGGGUGUUAGUUUAUAGGGUGUUAGUUUAGCAGGGUGUUAGUUUAUAGGGUGUUAGUUUAGCAGGGUGUUAGUUUAUAGGGUGUUAGUUUAUAUGGUGUUAGUUUAUCGGGGUGUUAGUUUAUAGGGUGAUUGUUUAUAGGGUGUUAGUUUAUAGGGUGUUAGUUUAUAGGGUGUUAUUUAGCAGGGUGUUAGUUUAGCAGGGUGUUAGUUUAUAGGGUGUUAGUUUAUAGGGUGUUAGUUUAGCAGGGUGUUAGUUUAUAGGGUGUUAGUUUAUAGGGUGUUAGUUUAUAGGGUGUUAGUUUAUAGGGUGUUAGUUUAUAGGGUGUUCGUUUAUAGUGUGUUAGUUUAUCUGGGUGUUAGUUUAUCUGGGUGUUAGUUUAUCUGGGUGUUAGUUUAUAGGGGUGUUAGUUUAUAGGGUGUUAGUUUAUAGGGUGUUAGUUUAUCAGGGUGUUAGUUUAUAUGGUGUUAGUUUAUAGGGUGUUCGUUUAUAGUGUGUUAGUUUAUCUGG